UGCUAUUAUUUGUCAACUUUUCUUAAUCUCCAAUUUAAAACAGAAGCUAGGCCAAAUUUUGUGUGUCUUUACACACAGUGUACACUCAGUAAAGUGCAUUGCUAAUAGAUGGUAAAUAAUAAAUAUUUCUAAAUAAAUAAAAACUGUCUAAAUGGUCAUUGUGUAUUUUAAUCAGCAAUUCUUAAUUAGUCAUUUUGGAAAUGCUUAAUAUUUUGAACGGAAAUAACUGACGUAUCUUUUUCUCAGUGUCUCUAUAUGAACAGUAAUCACUGGUAGCGAUUAAGACUGCUUAAUUUUUGACGAGCAUAUUUUAGUUCACUUACGAGUUUCUCUCUUGCUUCUUUUGUGUUUAAUGAUUGAUUUUUUUUUAACAGUAGAAUCUCAGGUCAGAUCAGGUUAAAUUUUCCCCAGUGCCUUAAUAAUUAGAAGAAUGUUUCCGGUGUGUCACAUGAUUCACAAGUUAGACAUUUAUAAGGAACAAAUUCAUAUUGAGAUACUAGUUUGGAUAGUUAGGUCCUUCCCACAGCCAGAUGAGAGCAUUAUAUUACUGUGCUUUCUUCUUUAAAAAUUCACACAUCCCCUCUUUGUGCUCCCACUGCUAAAAUACAUGAGAGGCAAAAUAUUCAUGAGAGGCAAAAUUUUCAGGUAAGAAAAAUGUCAGUUGGAGAAA
rnacentral:lncRNA from 1 species